rnacentral:rRNA from 1 species
AUGAGGGCGGUCACCGGCGCCAUCGUCUCCUCCAAGCCGUGCUCGCUCCUCAAGGCCAAGGUCAUCCUCGACGGAUUCCACAAGAGCUCCGCCUCCAACCUCCCCUCCUCCGACGCAGGCACAUACCUCCGCACCGCCGCCGACGCCGUCGACGAGCUCCGCGAGUUCCGCCGCGACCUACUCAGGGCCCAGCACCACCACCAGCACGAGGUCAAGGUGAAGGUGGAUGUGGAGGAGGAUCUUGUUCACAGCCCUUGUGCCGCUGCCGCCAGUGAGAGGAAGCGGAGGAGCAAGGAAGAGAGGCGUGUCGUCAAGCAGGAGCAAGAUGUCCCUUUGAUCCAACUCCAACAGGAGGAGGCGGCGGCGGUGGUGUCCAAAGUAGGGAUCAGUUUGGUUCCCAGGAAGAAUAAGAAGAAGAAGGAGGAGGAGAAAGACAUCACCAUCAUCAAGCAGGAGGCAGAGGAGGAGGAGGAGGAGCCGGAGCAGCACAAUAAGAAGCGGAAGCAUGCCGCACAAGAGUUGGUCGAGGUGAAGAAAGAAGAAGCUGAUUUCAUCGAUGCCGAUUUGGGGAGCGACAAGAAGAAGAAGAAGAAGAAGAAAAACAAGAGGAGCAGAGAUGGCGACGACGUCCAAGAAGAAGCAGAGCAUACCAAGAAAAAGCAGCGCAAGUAG